ACCUACUGUUUAAUUUUGAGGGUUCGUUUUUACGAAUACUCAAAAUUAGCACUUUAAGCAACAGAAUAAACUGAACGCAUGUGAAGUUUGUUUGUUGGCGCUGUGCGUUGGCACUUUAAGUAACGGAAUAAUCUGAGUGAAUACGAAGGUUGUUCGUUGACGUGGUGCGUUAGCACUUUAAGCAACUGGAUUUAUCCGUUGGCGCCGUGCUUUAGCACUUUGAAAACUGCAUAUAUAUUUAGUGAUAUGACAUCCAAUUUGUAAUAUAUAAAGCUGAUAACUUUUUAAAAUUAUCGAAGUUGAUAGCUUCUAAUCUAUCAAACCUUUUUAACUGGUCAA
rnacentral:misc_RNA from 1 species